GCAUUUGAUUCUCAGGCACACAUAUUAAAACUGAAACAACACGAAAAAAGUUCAGCACAGCCCCUGAGCAAGGAUGACUUGCAAAUUCAUGUGUCUUCUCAUGUUUUU
ensembl:snRNA U6 U6 spliceosomal RNA